rnacentral:rRNA from 1 species
GACGAACGCUGGCGGCGUGCUUAACACAUGCAAGUCGAACGGAAAGGCCCUGCUUUUGUGGGGUGCUCGAGUGGCGAACGGGUGAGUAACACGUGAGUAACCUGCCCUUGACUUUGGGAUAACUUCAGGAAACUGGGGCUAAUACCGGAUAGGAGCUCCUGCUGCAUGGUGGGGGUUGGAAAGUUUCGGCGGUUGGGGAUGGACUCGCGGCUUAUCAGCUUGUUGGUGGGGUAGUGGCUUACCAAGGCUUUGACGGGUAGCCGGCCUGAGAGGGUGACCGGCCACAUUGGGACUGAGAUACGGCCCAGACUCCUACGGGAGGCAGCAGUGGGGAAUAUUGCACAAUGGGCGGAAGCCUGAUGCAGCAACGCCGCGUGCGGGAUGACGGCCUUCGGGUUGUAAACCGCUUUCGCCUGUGACGAAGCGUGAGUGACGGUAAUGGGUAAAGAAGCACCGGCUAACUACGUGCCAGCAGCCGCGGUGAUACGUAGGGUGCGAGCGUUGUCCGGAUUUAUUGGGCGUAAAGGGCUCGUAGGUGGUUGAUCGCGUCGGAAGUGUAAUCUUGGGGCUUAACCCUGAGCGUGCUUUCGAUACGGGUUGACUUGAGGAAGGUAGGGGAGAAUGGAAUUCCUGGUGGAGCGGUGGAAUGCGCAGAUAUCAGGAGGAACACCAGUGGCGAAGGCGGUUCUCUGGGCCUUUCCUGACGCUGAGGAGCGAAGGCGUGGGGAGCGAACAGGCUUAGAUACCCUGGUAGUCCACGCUGUAAACGGUGGGUACUAGGUGUGGGGUCCAUUCCACGGGUUCCGUGCCGUAGCUAACGCUUUAAGUACCCCGCCUGGGGAGUACGGCCGCAAGGCUAAAACUCAAAGGAAUUGACGGGGCCCCGCACAAGCGGCGGAGCAUGCGGAUUAAUUCGAUGCAACGCGUAGAACCUUACCUGGGUUUGACAUGGAUCGGGAGUGCUCAGAGAUGGGUGUGCCUCUUUUGGGGUCGGUUCACAGGUGGUGCAUGCCUGUCGUCAGCUCGUGUCGUGAGAUGUUGGGUUAGUUCCCGCAACGAGCGCAACCCUUGUUCACUGUUGCCAGCACGUUAUGGUGGGGACUCAGUGGAGACCGCCGGGGUCAACUCGGAGGAAGGUGGGGAUGACGUCAAGUCCUCAUGCCCCUUAUGUCCAGGGCUUCACGCAUGCUACAAUGGCUGGUACAGAGAGUGGCGAGCCUGUGAGGGUGAGCGAAUCUCGGAAAGCCGGUCUCAGUUCGGAUUGGGGUCUGCAACUCGACCUCAUGAAGUCGGAGUCGCUAGUAAUCGCAGAUCAGCAACGCUGCGGUGAAAAAGUUCCCGGG